AAUGGGGACGAAGCUCCGUCUGUCUCUCAUAAGCUCCCGUCAUCGACUGAAACGCGGAGACUCCAUUGCUGCUAGAGCAAGGGGAGCUCUGAGCUCUCCCGGAGGAGGAAGAGGAGAAGAUGGUUUUCAAGAGCCUCACCUUCAACCCCAACGAUCCUGACCUUGUCAACGCUCGCCCUGGCUCCCCUUCUCCCUUCUUCUAUCUGAUGUCCCGAUCGGCCUCUUCUUCUUCUGAUGUCUGGUGCAACUGUUGGGCCCCCAGGGCUGCCUCGGCCCACCGCUCGACUCCCGUUUUCCAAACUCCGGCGCCUACCGGCAGGAGUCCAAUGGCUCAUGAUGUGCCUGGACAAUUUGAUGCAACUCGAAGCAAUGCAAAUGUAGCGCGUCAGAGUGAAGAAACCACCAAUCAAGUCAAAUUCCGAGAACCUAUGGACGAUGAUACUGAUGCGGAAGCAUUAUUGCAUAAUGAAGGAGAAUCUCCAGGUGCAGAUGAUGACCCGCUACCUGCAAUAGAUUGCCUUCAGAUUUCAGGUGAUGCAUUUCCUGGAAGGGAACUCCAGGCUUGUGGAUACUCCAUUAAUGGGGCGACGAGCUGCUUCUUUGAGGAUGGUGGUCUUGUAAAUGUAAUUUGAGGUGGAAAAACAAGGCCAGAUGAAGAGUCUGGUUCCAGGGAGAUUAUACACCGAGCUGUGAGUGAGCCAAGUGCUAAUAUAGGACUUAGUACAAGAACUCCUUGAACCAGUUUCUGUCAGUUUAAGCAAUUUAAACGAUGGACUUAUAAAAGGCCCUGCCUCUUUGCUGAAUGAGCUUCUGUUGCUGGUAAAAGUCUCUGAUAUCCACCAUAACAAAGUCAGACAUACUUAUCAACUACUUAAUAUUAAUGUCUUUUUUAUUUGGACCUUCUAAACCCUUACCCGAACAAACCAUAUGAGUACAUCUGACUCUUUCAGUAUCAUCCACAGUGGGUACGGCAUAUGGAAGACGGAUCAGUCAAUUAUAUUAGAGGUGCAAAAGACCGACCAAGAACUUCUUGUUUCCUUCCAUUGACUUCAUGAACCAUCCUUCGGAGGCAUAUAUUCCCCUUAUCUUUGGUUGGUGAAAUAUGGGUGUUUCUCCUUCUCUGUAGACAUAGAUUUCAAGGAUUCGCUCCAUUAACUCGUAGCUCCUGCAGAUACAAUACAAGAUGAUGAAUGCCCAGCCAAUACAAUGGCUUUUCCCCCAAGUAUCAACAUAAGAAUUUGCAAGCAUUAGAGAAUGAUGAGACCCUCCAAUUUGUAGGUUGCGUUUGGUUUCAUAGUAGAAUUUUAAAAUUAGAUUUUGAUUUUGAUUUUGAGUGGUAUAAAUGGGGCCCACCCUUUGACUUUGUAUG